rnacentral:rRNA from 1 species
UACAGAGGUCUCAAGCGUUGUUCGGAUUCAUUGGGCGUAAAGGGUGCGUAGGCGGCUUGUCGCGUCGAAUGUGAAAUCCUGCGGCUCAACUGCAGGCUUGCAUUCGAUACGGGCAGGCUAGAGUUCGGUAGGGGAGACUGGAAUUCCUGGUGUAGCGGUGAAAUGCGCAGAUAUCAGGAGGAACACCGGUGGCGAAGGCGGGUCUCUGGGCCGAUACUGACGCUGAGGAGCGAAAGCGUGGGGAGCAAACAG